UAUGAAUUUAUAACGAAAGUUUCUGUCGCGGCCUAUUAAAAAUAAUUAAUAAAAAUAAAGUCAAAAUUAGCCGACGGAGUCUAAACGAAAGUCGUAGAGCAUGGUCUCACCUUUCCGUGGAUAUAAAGAACGUCGAAAACGGAGUUCGUAUGAAGAAGUUAUGAAUUUCCGAAGUUUAUUAAUCAUUUUGUAUUUAAAUUUAAUUGGAAAUUCGGAAGCAUUAUCCGAAGGAGUCACCGAUCUGAUCCGAGGUACGCCCCGCGUACUCGAGUACGCCCUGCGUACUCCGAGGGAUGUCGACACUCGCACUCGAGCACUUCGGAUACGUAAGCAAUGACGUUUUGGGCAGUACGCCCCGCGUAACGCAGUACGCCCCGCGUACUCCGAGGCUCCAGCCUCCUAUAAAUAGGAUGCGAGGGUUCCGGGUAUUUUUGCCAAUUCCCUCUCAUUUUCGUGUCGAAGCUCUGCAUUUUUACCCCCGAAGCUACCCCGAAGCCCCGGUAUCAUACUCUAGCCCCGAGGCAAGUCCCGAGAUCCCGAAGAUCCCGAGAAGCGCGGUUCCCGAGUCGAAGCUCUGCCCGCGAGAAGUUCGAUUUUCGAGGAGAUCUUCCAGAUCUGCUGUGGAUUACUACUUCUAUAAGCCGUAGUGCUGUCGGAUCGUCUUCUGAUCAAGUGAGUGUGUAGUUAUUUCUUCUAAUACAAUAAUACGAAGUAUUUUAUAUAAAAAUACGUGCUAUGUGUAUAUAUUUGGUUGUGUUAUGUGUGAAUGAGUAUUCACUCUCUUCUAUCUUAUAGAUCUGCUUAUUUCUUUAUGAGAUAUGUGUUAUGUGUGUGUGUGCCUCAUCUGUUAUGUGAUAUAUGUGUUGAUUAAAGCAUGCUAUACAGGUUUUCUUUAAACUAUGUAUACAAAUGUAUAUUUUUAUCUACUAAUAUGUUGGGUAGAACAUGGGUAGACAGUUGGUGUGUAAUAAACAGAUGAGAGGCCUCGUUGUUGUUGUUGUUGUUGAUCUAGUUAUUCAGCGGAGUAUGGAUAACGACCACGGACUCUUUCUAGACAGUCCAGUGGAACGCUAGCAGGUUCAUAACCUGUAGGUGUUGUGAACGAUGUGUUCACCGGUGUACUCUAUCCCCCUCAUGGUUGCCUUUAGGAUAUCUAUUGUUGAGGAAACCCCUUCGCAGUGAUGUCCGUCCCGAUGAAAAUCCUAGAUUAGGUCCCUUGAGAUAGUUGUUUUAGGGACGUAAAGUGAGGAUAACGGGAAUGGGUAAUCGGGAUAGUGAUUGGUUGGUGAAAUUAAAUAUAACUUAUUUAUUGUGGGUUGAAAACCCUAUAUGCUCACCAGGCUCCCAAGCCUGACCCACUCAGUUUUAUUUGUAUUACAGGAAGUGGCACAAGGGCGUAAGAUGGAUGGAUCAUCUUGUUGUUUUGUUUACAAGUCUGUAUAUGUAUAUAUUUGUUGAAUGACUUGUAAUGUUUAUCGUUUAUGCUUUAUGGUCUGUAUCGGAACAUGACAUCCCGAGUUUUGAUUAUAUAAUGAAAUGCAUCUCUUGAUGAAAUGCUUUGAUAAAUAUUAUUUUAUCAUGUUUUGUUUUGGGAACAAAUUCCGCAACUCUUUCAAAUCAAAAGGAUUUACUCUGAAAAUAUUUAAAAGCAUAAAUGAAAAUCGGUCUUUUCUGGCCGAGAUUUUGGGGAUGUCACAGUUGGUAUCAGAGCAUUAGUUUAAGCGAACUAGGAAUUUGUAGGAUUUCUAGACUUAAACUUAGAAUGCUAAGUGAAGUUUUGAGAUGUGUGUCUGUUGUGUUUUAGACACGAGCACUAGUUUAUUUUAGGAAAGUUGCCUAAAAUGCUUUAUGUGCUAAAUGUUAUAUGUUGCCAUAUAUGAUAUUAUUUGUUCGGAUCUAUGGUCUGUUGCCGACCGGAUCUAGAAACCUUAUGUGUGUAGGAUUCUAAGCGUACGUCUACGAUAUUAGAACUAGCAUGUAAACGUUUCGGAGUGAUAAGGAUGAUUUGAAUAUCUAUCAUGAUUGAGGAUCUAAUUUCACCUUAUUCGGGGUGUAGAUCAAAAUGGUGAGAACAAGAAGUGGAGUUGGAAAUGCUGACGAAAACAGGAAUCAACCACCAGUGAUUGAGCCAAUACCUGUCGUAGCAGCAGCACCUGAGCCAAUAACCAUGGCUGGUGUGCAAUUGAUGAUUCAGACGAUGUUGGAUCGUCAGAUGGAUGAAACUAGACGGUUGCUUCAACAAAAUCGUGAAGAACUGUCGAUUCGUGUGGAAGAGCCUGAAUUAAAUGAAGGGCACUCGGAAGGUGGAAACUUCAGUGGGUCUGUUGGUCCAGCCAACCCACCGAUAGUUAGGCAAGAUAACCAUGAAGGAAGGAAUGAUGGAAUGGGAUGCAAGUACAAGGACUUUUUGACUUGCAAACCAUCGACCUUCAAUGGAAAGGAGGAUCCGAUUGGGGUUAUGGAUUGGAUCUCCGAAAUGGAGUUAGCCUUUAUGACAUGUGGCUGCAGAGGUAAGUUGCAGACUAUCUAUGCCGUGCGACAAUUCCGAGGUGGAGCCGUUCGUUGGUGGAACACUCUAGGGAAGACCUUAAGCCCUAAUGAGCCACUGCAAUUGUCAUGGGCAGAGUUCUUGGUGCAGUUCAAGCGCAAGUUCUGCUCGGCUCAAAAUCUGUUGGAGUUGGAGAAUAAGUUUUUGACAUUGACGAAGGGUAGCAUGUCAGUUGAUGAAUACACCAAUAACUUCACCGAUAAGAUGGAGUUUGCCUUGCGUAUCGUUCCAGACGAGCUGACAAAGGUGGAUCGGUAUGCGAAGGGACUUCCAUGGGAGUACGAGGUGCCGGUACGUCAGGCACUUACUCUAGAGGCAGCUAUCUGGGCUGCCAAGUCUGUGGAGAACAUGAUCAAGGGGAGAACCACCGUCAAGGUUGAGGUUGGUGAGAAAAGGAAGUUUGAAGGAACAUCUGGUUCCAGUAAGAAGAGCAAAUUUUCGAAAUCUGAUUCGAAAAAGUUUGGAGGAAAAGGAGGCGAAGCAAAGUGGUGUGAUAAGUGUAAGAAAAAGCACUUUGGGAAAUGUAGCGAGGAUGUGACCUGCUACAAGUGUGGAAAGGUUGGACAUUUUGCCAAUGAAUGUCCGAACAACAAAAGGAUGUGUUUUGGUUGUAAUGAAGAGGGGCAUAUUUUGAAAGACUGUCCGAAGAAGAAGGAGGCAGCUAGGCCCAACAUUCCACCAAAGCCGAAGGCGAGAGCCUUCCAGAUGACACUUGAGGCUGCGAAAGAUGAAGCUGAUGUCGCUUCAGGUACCUUUCUCGUAAACGAAUUACCUGCUCAUAUAUUGUUUGAUUCUGGAGCCAACUACUCCUUUAUUUCGCAUGAGUUUGGUAGAAAGCUAGCUUUGCCUGUUGAUAGACUAAAUAAUGCUUUAUUAGUCGAAGUAGCUAGUGGCAAGUUUGUACCUGUUAGCCAUCGUAUGAAAAACGUCUUGAUCGACCUUAAUGGGAAUAAGUUUCUCGAGGAAUUAUUGCCUAUCGAACUAAAUGGUUUCGACAUCGUCUUGGGAAUGGAUUGGCUUAGCGCCAAUGAUGCCGAAAUUUUGUGCAAGAAGAAGAUAGUUAAAGUAAACCCGCCUGGAAAAGAUUCGUUUAUGGUGUAUGGGGACAAACGCAGAGUGAAUUCUGGAAUCAUUUCUCUAAUGAAAGCCAGAAAGUGUUUGACCAAGGGAUGUACAUCAUAUUUAGCAUUCGUGAUUGAUGCUAAGAAAGAAAAGAAGGUGAUGCAGAGCAUUCCAGUGGUGUGUGAUUAUCCGGAAGUAUUUCCCGAGGAUCUUCCUGGAUUACCACCUGAUAGACAAGUGGAGUUCAGAAUAGACUUGUUACCAGGAACCACGCCAAUAGCAAAAGCACCUUAUCGAUUAGCACCGACGGAGAUGAAGGAGCUAAUGAUGCAACUUCAGGAGUUAUUGGACAAAGGUUUCAUUAGACCUAGUUCAUCGCCCUGGGGAGCUCCGGUGUUAUUUGUAAAGAAGAAAGAUGGAAGUAUGAGAAUGUGCAUCGAUUACAGAGAGCUGAACAAGGCAACAAUAAAGAAUAGAUAUCCGUUGCCGAGGAUUGAUGACCUGUUUGAUCAAUUGCAAGGUUCGAGCUAUUUCUCGAAGAUCGAUCUUAGGUCAGGAUAUCAUCAGCUGAAAGUAAGAGAGCAAGAUAUCGAGAAGACUGCAUUCAGAACUAGAUAUGGACACUACGAGUUCUUGGUUAUGUCGUUUGGACUAACCAAUGCUCCAGCAGCGUUCAUGGAUUUGAUGAAUAGGGUUUGUAAUCCUUUCCUUGAUAAAUCCGUGAUAGUGUUCAUAGACGACAUUCUGAUCUACUCGAAAAGCCAGGAGGAGCAUGGCAGACACUUGCGAGAAGUGUUAGAAGUUUUGAAGAAGGAGAAGCUUUAUGCGAAGUUCUCCAAAUGUGAUUUUUGGAUUCGUGAAGUCCAAUUCUUGGGUCACGUGGUCAACCAAGAAGGGAUAAUGGUUGAUCCAGCGAAGAUCGAAGCUGUGACGAAGUGGGAACAACCGAAAAGUCCCACGGAGAUUCGAAGCUUUUUAGGAUUAGCCGGAUAUUACCGAAGGUUUAUCCAAGGCUUUUCUUCGAUUGCUACUCCAUUAACAGCUUUGACCCACAAAGGAGCUACUUAUGCUUGGAGUGAGAAGCAUAAAGAAGCAUUCGAGAAGUUAAAGAAGAAGCUAUGCGAGGCACCGAUACUUUCUCUACCCGAUGGAGUUGAAGACUUCGCUGUUUAUAGCGAUGCGUCUGGUGUUGGAUUGGGUUGUGUUUUGACCCAAAGAGAAAAGGUGAUAGCAUAUGCGUCUCGACAGCUGAAAGAGCAUGAAAAGAAUUACCCGACUCAUGAUUUGGAGUUGGCAGCGGUAGUUUUCGCUCUGAAAAUAUGGAGGCAUUACCUCUAUGGCACGAAGUGCAAACUUUUCACUGAUCAUAAGAGUCUCCAAUACCUCUUUAAUCAGAAAGAAUUGAAUAUGAGGCAACGACGCUGGCUAGAAUUACUUAAAGACUACGACUGCGAGAUACUUUACCACCCCGGUAAAGCUAAUGUUGUUGCUGAUGCUCUCAGUCGGAAGGUCAAUCUUGAAAGGAAGAGGCCAAGAGCGUUGAGAAUUGAAGUUGUCUCGACCAUUGUGGAAAGUAUAAAGAAAGCUCAAGAGGAAGCUUCUGAGAAAAAUGACCGAAAGGAGGAACGUUUGGGUAAAACGUUGGUGUUUGGUACUAACGGUCAUGGACUGAAGGUAUUCCAAGAUCGUAUUUGGGUACCUAAGUCAGGAGGAAUUAGAGAUCUUCUGAUGGAAGAAGCUCACAAGACCAUGUACUCGAUUCAUCCGGGUAGCACUAAAAUGUAUAGGGACCUGAAACCCUACUACUGGUGGCCGACGAUGAAGCUUGAUGUUGCAAAGUAUGUGGCCGAGUGUGUGACUUGUGCGAGAGUCAAGACACAACAUCAGAAACCGUACGGGAGUUUAGAACCUUUGCCUGUGCCUAUGGGUAAGUGGGAAGACAUUGCUAUGGAUUUUGUCACUAAACUGCCCAGAACAAAGAAUGGUCACGACAUGAUUUGGGUGGUCGUUGAUCGAUUCACUAAGAGUGCGCAUUUCAUAGCGGCCAGGGAGAAAUGGUCUAUGGAAAAGCUUGCGAAUUCUUACGUGAAGGAAAUUGUGAGGCUUCACGGUGUUCCGUUAACGAUUGUAUCGGAUCGUGAUAGCCGUUUCACCUCAAGGUUUUGGAAAAGUCUACAAGAGGAAAUGGGUACCAAGUUAUGUUUAAGCACAGCUUACCAUCCGCAGACUGAUGGUCAGAGUGAAAGAACAAUACAAACACUUGAAGAUAUGCUGAGAGCAUGUACCUUGGAAUUCCUAGGUAAUUGGGAUGAACAUUUACCGUUGGUAGAAUUUUCCUAUAAUAAUAGUUUUCACUCGAGCAUUAAGAUGGCACCUUAUCAAGCUUUGUAUGGACAGAAGUGUCGUACGCCGUCUUGUUGGCUUGAGGCUGGGGAAAAGCAGUUUAUGGGACCGGAGAUGGUUCAUCAAACUGCUGAAAAGUUGAAAAUAAUUAGGGAAAGAAUGUUAGCAGCUCAAGAUCGUCAAAAGAGCUAUGCUGACAAGAAGCGAAGACCGAUGACUUUUGAGGUUGGAGAUUCGGUUUUGCUUAAAGUCUCGCCGUGGAAGGGACUUAUAAGAUUUGGUAAAAGGGGAAAGUUGAGUCCAAGGUUUAUUGGACCGUUUAAAGUUCUUCAGAGGAUUGGGAACCAAGCUUACAAGCUCGAAUUACCCGAAGAACUGAAUGGAAUUCACAACACUUUUCAUGUGUGUUAUUUGAGGAAGUUCACGGGAGAAGUUCCCGAUAUAAUUCCAAUUUCUGAAUUGAGAAUUGAUGAGAACAAAAGGUUGAUUGAAGAACCAGAGGCAAUUGUUGACCGAAAGACUAAGAAGUUGCGACGCAAAAUGGUUGGGUUAGUGCUUGUCCGAUGGAAACACACGAAUGGGCCGAAUCUCACCUGGGAGACGGAGAGUGACAUGUUGGGUCGCUAUCCGCAUUUGUUUGUUGAUGUGUGAUUCCGGGGACGGAAUCAUUCUAAGGUGGAGAGAAUUGUAACGCCUGUGUUUCCGGGCUUGCCGUUUUUAGCAAUAUAAUAGUCUAGGUUAACCUCUGUAACCCGUUUUGAAAUAAUAAGAUUGUAUUAUUUGAGUAUUAUGUGUUUUGUGCUUAAUUGCUUAAUUAUGUGGUUUGAUUAAUUAAGAAUAAAAAUAAGCGUCAAAAUUUAAGUGUAAAAUAAACUUAAUAUCUUUGGUUAAUGUUGUAGUAGUUGAAACGAGGUUUCCGAAUAUAUAUAGAACGCCCAAAUCUGACUUCGUAUGAGGAAGUUAUGAUUUAUCGAAGUUCCGGCUUAGCGGUAUACAGCCUGUUAUACUCGAUUUGAGAUCGAGCGGUUGUUAGCCGAAGCAAUCUAAAUGAGAAUCGAAGAUCUCAUUGUUGGUAUCGAAGCGAUAAAAAGUUAGGCGAGAACGGACGUCAAACGAAGAAGUUAUGAAUUUAUAACGAAAGUUUCUGUCGCGGCCUAUUAAAAAUAAUUAAUAAAAAUAAAGUCAAAAUUAGCCGACGGAGUCUAAACGAAAGUCGUAGAGCGUGGUCUCACCUUCGCGUGGAUAUAAAGAACGUCGAAAACGGAGUUCGUAUGAAGAAGUUAUGAAUUUCCGAAGUUUAUUAAUCAUUUUAUAUUUUUAUUUAAUUCAAAAUCGGAGGCAUUAUCCGAAGCCGUGUCACCGGUGUAAUCCGGAGUACGCCCCGCGUACGAGGUUACGCUAUCGCGUAACUCCGAUAGUGUCGACACUUCGGAUGACGCAUGCAAUGACGAUUUCGGACGCGUACGCGCUGCGUACGCCUGUACGCCCCGCGUACUCCGAGGUUCCAGCCUCUAUAUAAAGGAUCCGAAGGCAGCCUCAUUUCUUGUUCAUUUUCUUCUCUUCUCUCUAGUCUUUUGCAUCGUUUUUCGU
rnacentral:lncRNA from 1 species